CGAGUUGGCUGGGCGGCCGCGGCACCCUCGGGUGUCGAGGAAAGUCCGGACUUCACAGAGCAGGGUGAUUGCUAACGGCAAUCCGAGGCGACUCGCGGGAAAGUGCCACAGAAAACAGACCGCCACCUGAGCCCUUGCGGCCAGGGGUAAGGGUGAAACGGUGCGGUAAGAGCGCACCAGCACCCCGGGUGACCGGGGUGGCUAGGCAAACCCCACCCGAAGCAAGGCCAAGAAGGCCGCAACCUGGUUGCGGCCGCGCAGGCGUUCGAGGGCUGCUCGCCCGAGCCUGCGGGUAGGCCGCUCGAGGCACCCGGCGACGGUGUGUCCAGAUGGAUGGUCGCCGCCUCGCCCUCUGGGGGCGAGGGACAGAAUCCGGCUUACAGGCCAACUCGUUCG
rnacentral:RNase_P_RNA from 1 species